GACGAACCGUGCAAACGUUGUUCGGAAUCACUGGGCUUAAAGGGCGCGUAGGCGGGCGAUCAAGUCGGUGGUGAAAUCCUGCAGCUUAACUGCAGAACUGCCUCCGAUACUGGUUGUCUCGAGGAAGGUAGGGGCGUACGGAACAGUUGGUGGAGCGGUGAAAUGCGUUGAUAUCAACUGGAACUCCGGUGGCGAAGGCGGUACGCUGGACCUUUUCUGACGCUGAGGCGCGAAAGCCAGGGGAGCAAACGGG
rnacentral:rRNA from 1 species